AACUUUGCACAGUGGCAGUAUUGUAGCCAAUGAGGUUUAUCUGAGGUGUGAUUAUUGCCAAUUAAAAUUCAGCUGUCAGUUUAUUCCUCGUCUAGGGUUAGAGACAGCAAGUCACUUUGAGCCAGGGGCUCUUUUGAAGACUCUCUCAACCUAUAUUCAUGGGAUAGGAG
ensembl:snRNA U4 U4 spliceosomal RNA